rnacentral:rRNA from 1 species
GCCCGGCCGUGCGCCGUCAGAAGGGGUUAUUUCAGGAGAGAGGAGGAGGCGGCCUUAGGAAGCGGAGAAGAGGAGCAGUCGGAGGAAGAGGGUAGAAGACCACGGCAGGGUACGCCUGCACCAAGGGAGACGACCUUUCGUUCCCAACAAGCGGUAUCAAACGAAUGGUUAGAGCCAACUGGGAUAGGUUCGACGGGAGUUGAUUAUGAUGGUCGUGGUCAAAUAAAAAGCUUUAUUUGGACCCUAAGGCGGUACGGGGCGCCGUUCAGGAGGAGGCCGCCGUCGAACAAGAUGGCCUCCUUCGUGAGUACCGCGGCGCUACUCAAUCACUCGUCCUCGUGGGACGUAGACGACCUGAAGCUACUGCCAUGUGGUGGUCUUGUACGAACCUCUUCUUUUAAUUCAUCAGUGCGAUUAUCUGACUUCCUCAAGUUACAAUGCAAGUCUCUUCGAAAAUUUUACUACUUCGAACCGGAGGCCGAAACCAGUAUACAAGCUCUUCUUCGAAGGGUCCCUUCCUUUCGUGGCUAACUAGGUAAGUGCUCCCUCUCGUGGUUUGGUAGUCGGAGUGUUCCUCAUGGGGAACCACCCUACCCCUGACCAUCGUAUAGUUCUCCAAAAUCUCCCCUCAAGUUUGUAACCGUCUAUUGGGGACCAAGUACACUAUACAGUGGUCACUACCUUUUGGUUAAAAGCUAGAAAUAUUGAUCUCUUCCUCCUUGGUUUUUCAUGAGGAGUCAAAAUCGAGGACCAGUCGUACUACCAAAUUUUUUUAGAUCGCUACUACCGUAUAGUAGGACCCUAACCUUUAAUUCCCCACUGGCAAGUUGUAUGGUACGAAACAAAGGAGCUCGUACCUGACAAAUACUACCACUUGGACUAGGACUUGACUUUAAUAGAACGGCAGUUUAUAGAGGUAAAUAAGGGGUGUUGAUGCUUCUCUCAUCAGAGGGUCAGAGGCAAAAACAGAUGUGAGAUCACUUAUGGCCUUUCCUUUCCCGUUUUCAGUCGGAUCAUUACUGGACCCGCUUAAGAUAACCACCUGAAAGUGUAGUCAGACCACCAGUACAUUUACUUGGUAAGUAACCUCUUUUACCUUAAAGACCACAAGAGGAUGUAGUGUUCUGACGGUUGUUAUUAGGAGGUCAUUGUAAACGACAACGACGUGCACUUUUGGUUUUACAACUACAGUGUCACAACGGUUAAAAACCCGAAAGACCUCUUUCAAGUCAGUGACGAUUCCUCUACACCCCGUGUUACCAGGUCCCACCAACGAAACUGGCUCUAUUAAAGUUACGACCGGGGUCGUACGGAAGAAGUCACCCACUAUGUCAAACACGUCGUCAAAGACGAAGUUGGACCCAACUUGGUGUACCUUCUACAUGCCAGCAUAAAAGCAAUCGAACCAGAAGAGGGUUCCAAUUUAAAUUCUUCCCUUCAUGCAUGGUGUCCUCUAUAUGUUUCAAGAUGCCUUGAAGGGGUUCUAGACGAUAUUUGGACCGCGUUCUACGGAACUACUUCAUGUUCGUAACCCUUCUCCUUUAGCUAUUCACCGUCUGGGGUUAAGAGGCACUACUUUCCAAAGGUCUUACCAUGUUUUAAUGAGAGAAGUUACUCAAUAUGAAGGAUCAUCGCCCUCCUUGACAAACCUAACUGUCACUAAACUCAAGUUCAGAUGGACUCCUGUCACUAAACGGUGAAGUAUUGUCGUGAACGUUGAGAUGUCAAGGUGAAUAACCAAGAUCGGGUGGACUGAAACUACUGUUUCUUUUACAACCCUUCAAAAACAUGGAACUUCCUCACCUCAUGAAGUACACCACGUGAAUGCUACAUGUGAAGAUACGAAGCAAACGAGACAACCUAGAGAAAGGAUUCUAACUCGACUCAUAAGUUGCCCUGAAACGAUCUCGACAAAACGCACUUCUAUCUUGAUCUCAGUCUAAAGAACGACUACCAUGUACCCCGUGUGCGUUUCAUUAACCUCGACAAGGGGUACUAGAGCCUCGUGUACUAGGAACCGUACUUAACUUACGUAUGUUAUAUGUACUAUGUUCAUCUACCUUUCUAGACUUAGGGUUCAAACACGAGGUUCAAAUGUCCCUAAAACGACGUUGUCUGCUGUACAGUAAACCGUCCCUACAGACCGGACGUCAAACAUGACGAUACCUUAUGUAACUUGUCAAACUAGCACUACCACUAACAUACUAACUCUUACUACCAAAAGGACUAGUUUGAAUACUACGAACCUGACAAGAACCUCAUUCACGGAUAACACCAACAGAAACCGAACGACGGGAAGUUCGACGUCGGCGUUACCGGGCGUCGGAACCCGUACUACUGAUACGACUGUCCACGUACCACUUUAAACGUUUCCGAUUCGUGCACAAACUUCGGUUCAAUACCUUACCAAGUAUAAAGUUAAUACUAUCACCUUGUUCAAUGUCAUCGGUGAGGUAGGUCCGUCUAGUCAACCGGCCUGUUACCAUGUGACGUAGUAGACCGAACGGUGGAGACAAACUACUCCUGUCUUAUUUUACGUGCGAAGUUUUUUAUAAACUGAUAUUACACUACUCCCACUUUCCUCCUGCGUAACCUCGUCAGUUACCAUACGUGGGUUUACCCUUCCAUCUGCUCUGUACAUACGUCAGUUCUCUUUAGACCUGACCUCAUUGUAUGUCAAAUCGACGUUGCUACGACGAGGUACCUUACCUCCUAGUCCGAAAGUGAUGUCGCGUUCCGUAAAAAGAACGUCCUACCAGACUUCUCCCGAUACCCAUAACCAAAGUUUGAGGUCUUCGUACCUGAUAACUACCGGUGAUAUCUAGCGACUAUAUAUACGCGGGCGAACGCUAUACCCGUUACGUCGUACGCGACAGAGGAGGUUCCCGCUAGGAGCUCCGGGGUUUCCCGCCUGCUAGACUUAGAAACCAGAGUUUCUACGUUCUUAAGGGUCGCGGUUUACGAGGAGGUUCUAACCUCAAGAUACAACAGUUUGGAACGGCGCUCUAACGUUGGAUUACAUGAGAAACCGAUAGGGGAACGAGAAGAGAUAAGAAGUGUUGGGCGACAUUGGAAGUAGACACAUUUGUAAAGAUAUUUCAAUAUAUCCCAAGUCCGGCCGCGUUCGGGCAGCAACUGUGCAUUUUUUGUAAAAAAAAGACGGUAAAAGACAAUGAUGCACCGUUGAAAACAA